rnacentral:rRNA from 1 species
CCUACGGGUAGCAGCAGUGAGGAAUAUUGGUCAAUGGGCGUAAGCCUGAACCAGCCAAGUCGCGUGAGGGAUGAAGGUUCUAUGGGUUGUAAACCUCUUUUGUAAGGGAAUAAAGUCCGGGACGUGUCCUGUUUUGUAUGUACCUUAUGAAUAAGGAUCGGCUAACUCCGUGCCAGCAGCCGCGGUAAUACGGAGGAUCCGAGCGUUAUCCGGAUUUAUUGGGUUUAAAGGGUGCGUAGGCGGGCUUUUAAGUCAGCGGUGAAAGUCUGUGGCUCAACCAUAGAAGUGCCGUUGAAACUGGGGGGCUUGAGUAUGGUUGAGGCAGGCGGAAUGCGUGGUGUAGCGGUGAAAUGCAUAGAUAUCACGCAGAACCCCGAUUGCGAAGGCAGCCUGCCAGGGCAUGACUGACGCUGAUGCACGAAAGCGUGGGGAUCAAACAGGAUUAGAUACCCUUGUAGUC